CCUCUUGGAAAGCAGCUAGCUCAUGUCUUUAGCCUGUUCCUCGUGGCCUGUUCAGAUCUUUCCUGACACCAAGAAGUAAUGCUGCAUCAGUGGCAUUAGGGCAUCUCACAGGUGAGCUGUGGCUGACAUCUGACAGCUGAACCCAGGGCUCUUUGUUCUCAAGGGAAACUCUGAGGAUCUAGGAAAAACUCCACCACAUUUGGAAAAAGAAGCAUAAAUUCAAAAUGGUCGACAGUAAUUCAGAGGGGUGCAAAGCAGAGUGGCAAAAAUAGUAAAUUUAGAACAAAUUAAAUUAAAAGUUUCAAUUGUAAAUGAAUGAAUGAAUGAGCUGCUGAGUAAGCAAAAGUCAGUGCUUUGCAUGAUUUUUAAGUGCUGCUGAGAAUCCAGGCACCUCCAGAUGGCUACUGUGCAGCUCUUAUAAGAGGUUUGCAGCUGGCUGACAUGUAGAAUUGAUAAACUGCACAUAAUUUGGAGUAAGCAAAUCAGUAUUUUUGACUGCAGGCUUUAAAUCAGAAAAUAUUUGAAUAGAAAUGCAUAUCUAUUGAGAAUGCAACUUCAUAUUUUUGUCACCUAAAAGUUCAAAUAUCAGUCAGACAAGAUCCAGCCUGAAGCAGUAAGCCUUCCACUAUGAGAAAAUAUGUAGCAUUUCUGUUGCUACUUAAUUAUAUUUUUAAAAUUUAAAUCAAGCCCUACUCAAAAAGUAAUAUUCCAGUGUAUCAGAAGUGCAUCAGCAUUAAGAGUAAAUGUUGGGUUAAAGUUACAGAUGGUCAUGCUGGGUUUUUGGUUUUUUCUCUUGUAUAUUGCCUUUACUCUGAUGAUUAAUUCUGUGCUGUCACCUUCCCUGUUGUAAGCCAUUGAAGGUAAAAAUACUGAGAGCUACCCUGGGUAUUCAGGGCAGUGCAAAGAACAGCUGGAUGCCUGCAGUGAGUAGCAUGGUGAUAUUACAGCAGUUAUUUGCAGGUGUGACAAUGUCUCACCAAAGUGGGAUCCAGACUGAUGCCGAUCAACAACAGGCUCUGUAAUAUCACUUUCAUCAACAGUUCAAAUCAGAAAUGGAUUUUAGCCUCAUUUUUAUCUACCUUUUACUCUCUAAAUUACCUACAUGUAUCCUGAUAUACUAAUCUGGCUUGUAUUAUGCAUAAAUAUUUUGUAGGUAAUGUUCCUUAAUAGAAUGUUUUGUGUGGGCUAUUUUUGAGUUAUUUAAUGUAAUGUUCCUGGCAAAUAUUUUCAGCCUGGAUUGGCCAUUGGCCAUAGACUUGUCUAAAAUUACUUCUCAGAAUUGGCCUAUGAAGACAUUUUCUGUUAAAUUUGCAAGCAUUUCUCUUCCUUUUAUAAGUAUAUGCAUGGAAUCCUUCCUAAAAAGGACUGAUACUGUUGCAAAUAGCACUAUUACAAAUGCCUGUGAAAAUAAGGAAUAUGAAUGUAGGAGAUUGCAAGGGUUUUAAAAGACAGAAUACUUUAUUCUUUGUAGGAAAAAAGAUUAACCAGAUAUUUACUGACAUUUUUGGGGAAAGUAUUUAUGCAAGCAUUGUUUUUCAUAACUCUAUCAGUAAAAUGAACUACAUGAAAAAUAAUUAAUCAUUUAAUCUCUGUUAGGGGGAAAAGGGAGAUGAAGGUCCAAGAGGCCCAGAGGGACUCCCUGGCAAAGGAUUUGUCGGUCAAAAGGGUGACCCUGGAGAAAAAGGUUCCAAAGGAAUGAUUGGUCUUACAGGACCAAAAGGCCAAGCUGGAGCAAAAGGUGAUUGUGGAGCCACAGGACUCCCUGGUGCACCUGGAUCAUCUGUUUGGGGACCUCCUGGACCAAAGGUG